rnacentral:rRNA from 1 species
UACGGGGGGGGCAAGCGUUGUUCGGAAUUACUGGGCGUAAAGGGCUCGUAGGCGGCCAACUAAGUCGGAUGUGAAAUCCCCAAGCUUAACUUGGGAACUGCAUCCGAUACUGGAUGGCUUGAAUCCGGGAGAGGGAUGCAGAAUUCCAGGUGUAGCGGUGAAAUGCGUAGAUAUCGGGAGGAACACCUGUGGCGAAAGCGGCUCACUGGACCACAACUGACGCUGAGGCGCGAAAGCUAGGGGAGCAAACAGG